UUCAGAAUUUGCUGAAAAGACUGUCAAAAAAGGCAUCAGGAAGGUUUUCCAUAUUCUUUCAAUGAAUUCUCUAUCAAACUUGUUCAGAUUAUAAGUACAGACUGGUUUUUUUGGCUAGUAAUUAAGAUGGGAUCUGAAAGUCUAACGGUUAUUUCUGGGUAGUGCCUAACUGCCAGUAACUGAAAAUUAUUUUUUAAAGAAGCUAACAGUUCUUAUUCCACAUAAUUAAUAUUACCACAUUUGCUGUUGAUCUAAAGAAAGGGAGAAAAAAAGGGGCAGAAGACAAGAAUUUUAGUUGGAACAUUCUAUCUCUGCACAAAAGAAGGGGACAGGGCAAAUCAGCUAAAAGAGCCCCCAAACGUUGUGUGGAUCAGACCAGUUACUGGACAUGCUCAAUUGUGGUUUCUGAUGCUGUAUAGGAAGCUUUAAUUGUGGGCAAAUCACCUCAUUGGCCAAACCUGGUUACCCUCUAAGAGCUGACCCAAGUGGACCUUAGGGUGGAGAAGAUUUUAAAUAGGAGUUAAAAACAGCUGUAUGGAUUUAGUGACUAUUAAACAUAAGCGUCUGUGAGAGAGUUGCUGUAAGGGCUGGGUCCCAAUAUUUGUACUACUUUGGUUACAGGAGUAGAUAACUGAGCUGUCUCAAACCACAAGGACUGAAACCUCACUUGAAGUAAAAAUAUUGGAAAACAAAGCCAAAGUAUUCAUGAAAGGUCCAGGGAGAAGGCAAAUACGCAGAGACUGAAGAAUGAUAUUGAGACAAUUGCUCGGAGAACUUUUUUUUUUCAAAAUGGCUGUCUCAUAUGGUUCCAUGAGACUGAUGCUACAGUGAAGAAGACCACUAUGUCCACUCACCUGCAGCUAUGCACUUCCUGACAGUAUGUAAGGGGCCACCAACCUGCCUCUAAUUGUGUUUCCACUUCAGCUGAGAACCAAGGAAGGUAGUGACCAUUUUGAAUGAGGGGAAUUCUACUUAUUAUUCUUUGCCAGAGAAUGAUGCAUGAAUUUCUUCUUCAGGAAAUGUCAGUUGUGGAAAAUGACGGCAAAAAAACCUGUCUGCACCAGUUAUUCAACAAGGAAGGGAGAAAUGAGUGAUGUCUUUGCUGGGGUAUAAAAUUAUGAAGGCAGAAGAGUGUUUUUUUAAGGAGGGGCAUGUCUGCAAAGGAGCAUGGAGGACAGGAGAACAGGAAAAUUAUGGAGUAGGCUUUGGGUGCCUUGUGCUGAUCUGAAGAGGCACAGUAGCCGUAAACACAGUCUAAGUGGCUGCUGUGCUCUGGCUGCUUUGUGCUGCCGCAGGGUGGAAUUAAAUAGCCAGUGGAUCGGGUCUUGAAAAUGAAAGAAAGUUUUCAAUAGAUACUACAAAAAUACAAACUAUGAAAAAUAACAAUUUUUCUGGAAUUAGUUGUUGAGUAUAAAUUUAUUAACCUUUUAAUAAAAUAAGGAAACAGCCAGACAAAAACUACAUUAAGGUGGAAUUAAUGUUGAGAGUAUGUAUCAUAGUCUAGAGUAAUAAGCAUUCCUGUCAAUAUGAAAUUAACUCAGUAUCAAUUAUUAAAGUUAAGACUGAAGUUAAAUAUUUUUUAAGUAUGGAAAUGUACAGUUUCAGCACCCAAACAACCUUAAUUCUGCACCAUAGUGGGUAUGGGUGUGGGGAGAGUCUCAUGUCAUUAAAAAUUUAAUAGAGCAUUGAAUCACAAAUAAUGAAAUGUUUUAAUUAUAAUUGUGAUCAGUGCAUGAUGUCACUAUGUUGCAGACUGUCUGAAUGCUCUAACUGUGCGUUGCCAUAUUUUAAUAUGUUCAGUCACUUAACUUUAACCUUGCCUCUGAAAUUGCUGUGCCUAUGUUGAUUAGUACUAAUAUUAAAAUAAUUUACAGGAACAUAGUCAAAGGAAUUCUAAAAUACUGGUAUGUACUUAACUUUAGCUUCAUUUUAAUGUAGUUCUGUUUUGGGUAUCUGAGUAAAGCUUCUUUACUUGUCUUACCUUAAAAAGCUGUCACUUUAAACCGUAAACCUGUGUAAGAGGAAAGACAUCUACACAAAUCACACUUGUCUGGAUGUGUUAUAUUUAACAGUCUUGCGCUUCGCACCUAGCAUGUUUACAACUCAACUGUGGGGGGAAAAGUUCUAUUUUCAGUUUUUGUAUAAAAUGGAAUAUAGAGUAUGUUGCCAUUUCACUAUGUCUUCAUAUGACUUCCCAUAUUUGUAUGGCAACAGAUUUUUUAAAAGAUAUAUCAAAAUGAAAGUGUGGUGAUAAAAUUGGCCAAACCUGAUGUACUGUUUUUAAAUUUGUUCUGUAGGUUAAGUUGGGUCCUACAAAUAAGUUAAACUGGAGUUUAUGGGCUGCAGCUCCCAUCCUCACAACUGUGAAAAAACUACAGUAAUCAGGUCCUCCAGCAGUUUGCUUAGGUCACAAAAUCUGGAAAUCAUGACAUAUGGCGGUAUGUCAUAUGUUUAAUGCAGUAAUCUUCUUUCAACAUAUCGUUACUACUAAACUACUUUACUGCUAUAGGCAGGAAUGAAACUAGGUCUAGACUAUCAAAGGAUACUUAUCAGUCAGUAUAACCCAUUAUUUGUAUUCUCUAAUGACCACAGAGGAGAAGUCUGGAAGGGAUUUAGGUUACAACUUGCAGAUUUGAACUAACUAUAUUGAAGGCAAAGGGAAAAUAAACUGUUAAAGAUGAGUAGCUAAUGAAUAUCAGACUCCAAGGCUCUGAUUCUUAAGUGAUCAUACCAGUUUCCACUUAGUGUCACAUUUGUUUAAUUCACAAAACUAACACUUUGAGAAUAGCUAAGAUAUUUCAGCUAGGUAGAAAGUUACAGCUGCCCUUCAUUUAAAAAAUAAAAACAGAAUAUUUCAGCUAUUAUAUAAUGACAUGUUAGUAAUCAUAAUGCAUAUUAAGAGCUCCUCCUUAAAUAAAAUUAAAAAUAAAGUUUUGUAAUUCCCAAACAAGCUUCACAAUUCUUCAGAAUGAAACUUUUUUCAUUUUGAAAUAUUUUAUGGGCAAUUUUUACAAAAAUUCCACCUUAAAAAGUUCCAGUUUUGAGGAAAAUGUCAUUUUGUUGAAGGCGAGGGAACAUUUUAGCUGAAAAAUAUCCAAGGAGCUCUAGUAGUGCCCUGUGAUAACAAGGUACACAAUGCAUGUGUCCCUGAAGUUUCCUUAUGGUCAACACAGAAGCAGAUGGCUAGGUCCUCUUAAGAUUUUUUCUGUUACCUAGUCUAUAUGGCAUGAUUGUAGAUUAAAACAAGCUCAGUGAUUUAUCUAAGUCUUCAAGAACAGUUGUCUCAUGCUCUGCAAUGAUUAGUUGUUCUGAGAGUCCAGUGUACAAAAUUCAGGACUUUUCCUACAUGGCUUUCUAACAAUGUGAGAAUGUGCUAUCUGCUACCAUGAGGACAAUAGUUGUGGUGACUGGGGAGUCAAACUGAGAAUGGGUAAAUGAAGGUUGCAAACUGUAGUAGUGCAGUAUUUUUUUUUCAGUGCUUGAGGACUAAUGGGGGAGGAGAUAGUGGUGCUACUGCCUCCCUUAUGACUUUUAGCCAGUUAGGACAUUCACUGGGAUUUGGGAGAACAAGUUCAAAUCCUGCUCUGGAGCAGGGAGUGGAACCCAGGUAUUCCCCUUGUUGGGGGAAUAAUUUAACAGCCAUGUUUGCAUGGAGCCUGAGAGAGUGGGAACAUCUUCAAUAGUAGAUCUUGAGAUACCCACCCCAGAAUAGCCUGAACUGGAAGGGGAGAGACCUGGGUUCAAGUCCCUGCUCUUGAGCAGAGACGUGAACUUGGGUUUCCCACAUCCCAUGAGAGAGCCCUAAAAGUUAUGAGAUGGCACCACCAUCUACUUUGUGAAUGGUGCCUAAAUCCUCUUCUGAUUCUAUCCUGAAAAACUGAAAUGUUUGAUUUUGGUAACAUUGAAACAGUUUGACAUUUCUGAAACUUCUCUUUUGUUUCAACUGAAAUGAAAGUUUGCAGAAAUCUACAUGAAUUUGCAAAAUGCUUUGGUUGACCACUCUGCGUUUUUUUCAGGACAAAAAUAAGUUUUUGUUUGAAAAAUUUUGCUCAGUUCAACUUGCCAUUAACAUCUCAGCUACAUUACCUGAAAUUUGACUGAAGACAACGUAGAAAUACUUCCUACGUACACAUGGAAAUAUGGCAGACCUUGAUAAACCUUUAUAUACUUGUUACAGAACAGAUAUUUCUAAAAGGGGAAAACCUAUCCUGCCUUACCAGUCUGCACAAAUAAUUUUAAAUCACACAGACAAUACUUGCCCACUGCUUUUUUUGUCCUCUGCUAAUCGGUUUUAUGAUUACUUAAGCACACACACAAUUGGUGAAGUUUUGUGUGUUCCCAUAGACCUAAUAUGUUGUAUACUCUUUUAUAAUGGUUCCUAAAAUGUUUCUUGUUAAACCUUUGUUCUGUUACUUAAAUAAAAAUUGCAUCAUGCAAUUUAAAAAUAUGGUCUUCUGUAAAGAAACUGAUUUCACUCCAGGCUACAGAAAAACUGCAAUUUUAAGAACCUAUUUGUU